UGCUGGGACCAGGUGUCCUGCCUCAGCUGGAACUAUUUGAACUAAAUGUAACAGAAAAUGAAAGGAGGCAAGAAACGGCUGGGACCCAGUAAAGGCUAAGGAAUAAAUGGGGAGUAUGGAAGUGCUGAGCCCUUCUGGGCAGGGAAAGGAGCCUGUAGCACCUGGCCACGGGGUCUGAAUUCGACAUGAGGAUGAAGGAGUCCGUGACCAUGGGUUUCAGUGAACGCAUCAGUGCAUCCAAAGGUUAUCUUCAAGCCCAGCUUACACAGCUGUGUGACCCCUCAGACUCUCCCCUUUCCUGGGAAAAAGGAGCUUUUAGCGGCUUCCCUCGAGGAGGAAAACGGGAGACGGCACAACUUCGUGUUCCAAGUGGGAAUAUUAAACACAGCUUGGAGCAGAGCCCCCAUUUCCCCAGUCCCGGGUGCCUGAUCCGCAGAACGGCAGCUCAGUGGGUGUUUAUGGGAUGGGGAGGGGGCUGGAUGUGACCCCUGUGUGGCACCAGCAGGGCUGAGCUUUCCUUGGGGGAUACCUCAGCCUCAGACGCUGCCCUGCCACGACACUGCUCCGGCAGAUGUUGGUUCCUGGGAGGAACCGGGAUGGAACUUUGCCCCUCAGAUUAGCUCCCCAUCAAUGGGCCAUUGACACAGAAGUUAAGGAGUUUCUUGCUGCCCCUGGUGAAUUUCAAAGCUUUUCUUUGGUUUUGCUGCAUCAUUGAAGCCAUGGGAAAAGCAGCCGGAAAACUCCGCGCCUGUGCUGCUCCAAAGGAGUGAUUGAUACGGCGCUCCCAAUUACUUAAUUGUGGUUAUCCUAUUAAUAACAGCCUCGUUCUGUGGCACACACCUGCCUCUCCAUGGGAAACGCUGUUAAACGUAACUUAAAACACCAAUUACAUGCAAAGGAAAAGCAGCAAUUAAAUCCACUAAGCCUUGUCCAAAUAAUUAUUUAAUUUCCCUGUAAUAUUUUAAUGUUAUAAAAAGGCCGUUUCUUCAAAGCA